rnacentral:rRNA from 1 species
AGAGUUUGAUCCUGGCUCAGGGCGAACGCUGGCGGCGUGCCUAAUACAUGCAAGUCGAACGCACUGACGGAGAACUUGUUCUCUUGACGUGAGUGGCGCACGGGUGAGUAACACGUGGGAAACCUACCCUUCAGCGGGGGAUAACCAUCGGAAACGAUGACUAAUACCGCAUAGACGACAGAACCGCCUGGUUCAAUCGGGAAAGACGGCUUCGGCUGUCACUGAAGGAUGGUCCCGCGCUGCAUUAGCUAGUUGGUAAGGUAACGGCUUACCAAGGCGAUGAUGCAUAGCCGACCUGAGAGGGUGAUCGGCCACAUUGGGACUGAGACACGGCCCAAACUCCUACGGGAGGCAGCAGUAGGGAAUCUUCCGCAAUGGACGCAAGUCUGACGGAGCAACGCCGCGUGUGUGAAGAAGGUUUUCGGAUCGUAAAGCACUGUUAUUAGAGAAGAACAGCCGAUAGAGUAACUGUUAUCGGUUUGACGGUAUCUAACCAGAAAGUGACGGCUAACUACGUGCCAGCAGCCGCGGUAAUACGUAGGUCACAAGCGUUGUCCGGAUUUAUUGGGCGUAAAGGGAGCGCAGGCGGUUUGUUAAGUCUGAUGUGAAAGCCCACGGCUCAACCGUGGAACGGCAUUGGAAACUGGCAAACUUGAGUAUAGAAGAGGAAAGUGGAAUUCCAUGUGUAGCGGUGAAAUGCGUAGAUAUAUGGAGGAACACCAGUGGCGAAGGCGACUUUCUGGUCUAUAACUGACGCUGAGGCUCGAAAGCGUGGGGAGCGAACAGGAUUAGAUACCCUGGUAGUCC